ACUACGGGUGGCAGCAGUGGGGAAUAUUGGGCAAUGGGCGCAAGCCUGACCCAGCAACGCCGCGUGAAGGAAGAAGGCUCUCGGGUUGUAAACUUCUUUUCUCAGGGACGAAGAAAGUGACGGUACCUGAGGAAUAAGCCACGGCUAACUACGUGCCAGCAGCCGCGGUAAUACGUAGGUGGCAAGCGUUAUCCGGAUUUAUUGGGUGUAAAGGGCGGGUAGGCGGGAGGGCAAGUCAGAUGUGAAAACUCAGGGCUCAACCCUGAGCCUGCAUUUGAAACUGUGUUUCUUGAGUGCUGGUGAGGCAAUCGGAAUGCCGGGUGUAGCGGUGAAAUGCGUAGAUAUACGGAGGAACACCGGUGGCGAAGGCGGAUUGCUAGACAGUAACUGACGCUGAGGCGCGAAAGCGUGGGGAGCAAACAGGAUUAGAUACCCUAGUAGUC
rnacentral:rRNA from 1 species